UACGAAGGGUGCAAGCGUUAAUCGGAAUUACUGGGCGUAAAGCGUGCGUAGGCGGUUUGUUAAGUCUGUUGUGAAAGCCCUGGGCUCAACCUGGGAAUGGCAAUGGAAACUGGCGAGCUAGAGUCAGGUAGAGGGUGGUGGAAUUCCCGUGGAGCGGUGAAAUGCGUAGAGAUCGGAAAGAACACCAACGGCGAAAGCACUCUGCUGGGCCGACACUGACACUGAGAGACGAAAGCUAGGGGAGCGAAUGGG
rnacentral:rRNA from 1 species